AACGAACGCUGGCGGCAGACUUAACACAUGCAAGUCGAACGCAUCGCAAGAUGAGUGGCAGACGGGUGAGUAACGCGUGGGAACAUACCCUUUUCUACGGAAUAGCUCUGGGAAACUGGAAUUAAUACCGUAUACGCCCUACGGGGGAAAGAGUUAUCGGGGAAGGAUUGGCUCGCGUUGGAUUAGCUAGUUGGUGGGGUAAAGGCCUACCAAGGCGACGAUCCAUAGCUGGUCUGAGAGGAUGAUCAGCCACAUUGGGACUGAGACACGGCCCAAACUCCUACGGGAGGCAGCAGUGGGGAAUAUUGGACAAUGGGCGCAAGCCUGAUCCAGCCAUGCCGCGUGAGUGAUGAAGGCCUUAGGGUUGUAAAGCUCUUUCACCGAUGAAGAUAAUGACGGUAGUCGGAGAAGAAGCCCCGGCUAACUUCGUGCCAGCCGCCGCCGUAAGAC
rnacentral:rRNA from 1 species